rnacentral:rRNA from 1 species
UGGGGAAUAUUGCACAAUGGGCGGAAGCCUGAUGCAGCGACGCCGCGUGGGGGAUGAAGGCCUUCGGGUUGUAAACUCCUUUCGACAGGGACGAAGCUUUUGUGACGGUACCUGUAUAAGAAGCACCGGCUAACUACGUGCCAGCAGCCGCGGUAAUACGUAGGGUGCGAGCGUUGUCCGGAAUUACUGGGCGUAAAGAGCUCGUAGGGGGUUUGUCGCGUCGUCUGUGAAAUUCCGGGGCUUAACUCCGGGCGUGCAGGCGAUACGGGCUGGCUUGAGUGCUGUAGGGGAGACUGGAAUUCCUGGUGUAGCGGUGAAAUGCGCAGAUAUCAGGAGGAACACCGAUGGCGAAGGCAGGUCGCUGGGCAGUAACUGACGCUGAGGAGCGAAAGCAUGGGUAGCGAACAGG